AUGGCUGGAUCUCCGCCUUCUCCGUCCACAUGCGUGCAGCAGGAACUAGCAGCCGCACGGGUCUGAGCUCGGCCUCUCAAUUUUGUUUCACUUUUCAAGGAUGAGUAUCUUUACUUUGAAAAUGAACUGGUCAUAUUUCUAUUGGAAAUGAAGUGAUGUUGCUUCCCAGGACCAAUUAGGAUGUAUACCUGAAGGAGUGAAUCUACUGGUUCAGCUGAAAAUUGAUCUCUAUUUGGUUUUUGUUUUUGUGUUUGGUUUU